UUUCUAUGUGUCUGUGAUCAGGAAUACCGAACAAUGUGAAAUCCUUUUCAAAGGACCUGAGCCCUAGGACCAUGCAUCAGGACUACCUGGCUUGAUGACUCCUUGCUGUCCCCAGUUCACCUGUCCGUGCUGCUGCUCCAGUUCCACCUGUUCUGCCUGCAGCUAUGGAACCCUGACCUGUUCACCGGACGUGCUACCUGUCCCAGACCUGUUGUCCCAGACCUGCUGGAACCCUGACCUAUUCACCGGACGUGCUACCUGUCCCAGACCUGCUGUUUUCAACUCUCGAGAGACAGCAGGAGCGGUAGAGAUACUCUCAAAGAUCGGCUAUGAAAAAGCCAACUGACACUUACUCUUGUGUUACUGACUUGUUGCACCCUCGACAACUACUAUGAUUAUUAUUAUUUGACAAUGCUGGUCAUUUAUGAACAUUUGAACAUCUAGGCCAUGUGCUGUUAUAAUCUCCACCCAGCACAGCCAGAAGAGGACUGGCCAACCCUCAUAGCCUGGUUCCUCUCUAGGUUUCUUCCUAGGUUUUGGCCUGUCUAGGGAGUUUUUCCUAGCCACCAUGCUUCUACACCUACAUUGCUUGCUGUUUGGGGUUUUAGGCUGGGUUUCUGUACAGCACUUUGUGAUAUCAGCUGAGGUAAGAAGGGCUAUAUAAAUUUGAUUUGAUUUGAUACUCUACUCUAUCAGAAAUCCUAUUUUACUCUAGUCUAUCGGAACUUUUACUCUACUCUACCCUAUCAGAACCUCUACUCUACUCUAGUCUAUCAGAUCUGCCACUCAACUCUACUCUAUCAGAAAUCCUACUCUACUCUAGACUAUCAGAACUGUUACUCUACUCUAGUCUAUCAGAACCUCUACUCUACUCUAGUCUAUCAGAACUGCUACUCUACUCUAGUCUAUCAGAACAUCUACUCUACUCUUGUCUAUCAGAACGGCUACUCUACUCUAGUCUAUCAGAAAUGCUACACCACUCUACUCUAUCAGAACUGCUACUCUACUCAAGUCUAUCAGAACUGUUACUCUACUCUAGUCUAUCAGAACUGCUACUCUACUCUAUCAGAACUCUUACUCUACUCAACUCUAGUCUAUCAGAACCUCUACUCUACUCUAGUCUAUCAGAACCUCAACUCAACUCUAGUCUAUCAGAACCUCUACUCUACUCUAAAACUUCCACUGUAGUCUAUCAGGUAUUCUACUCUAUCAGAUUGUCUACUCUACCAUAUCAGAACUGCUACACCUGUCUAUCAGAUCUUCUACUCUACUCUAUCAGAGCUGCUACUCUAGUCUAUCAGAAUUGCUACUUUAGUCUAUCAGAACUUCUACUCUACUCCGGUCUAUCAUAUCUGCUACUCUACUCUAACAUGUCAGAACUGUUACUCUACUCUAGUCUAUCAGAACUGCUACUCUACUCAAGUCUAUCAGAACUGUUACUCUACUCUAGUCUAUCAGAACUUCUACUCUACUCUAGUCUAUCAGAAUGUCUACUCUACUCUACUCUAGUCUUUCAGAAACUCUACUAUACUCUGGUCUAUCAUAACUGCUACUCUACUCUACUCUAGUCUAUCAGAACUGCUACACUACUCUACUCUAUCAGAACUGCUACUCUACUCAAGUCUAUCAGAACUGUUACUCUACUCUAGUCUAUAAGAACUUCUACUCUACUCUAGUCUAUCAGAACGUCUACUCUACUCUACUCUAGUCUUUUAGAACCUUUACUCUACUCUAGUCUAUCAUAACUGCUACUCUACUCUAUCAGAAC
rnacentral:lncRNA from 1 species